rnacentral:rRNA from 1 species
UACGAAGGGGGCUAGCGUUGCUCGGAAUCACUGGGCGUAAAGCGCACGUAGGCGGGUCUUUAAGUCAGGGGUGAAAUCCUGGAGCUCAACUCCAGAACUGCCUUUGAUACUGAGGAUCUCGAGUCCGGGAGAGGUGAGUGGAACUCCGAGUGUAGAGGUGAAAUUCGUAGAUAUUCGCAAGAACACCAGUGGCGAAGGCGGCUCACUGGCCCGGUACUGACGCUGAGGGUGCGAAAGCGUGGGGAGCAACAGG